rnacentral:lncRNA from 1 species
CGGCGACCGUGUGAGCCUCAGAAUUAUCCCACCUCGCUUAACUUGGGAGGAGGAAGCCACUUUAAAAGGGAGAGCCACCCUUCCCCAUUGGACUAGUCUUUUGGGGCGAUUGGGCCUUUACCUGAGUUGGGUGUGCUUAAUGAACUGUUGGGCUCCGGGCAACCCUAAUUUGUUGGGCCUCGACCAACCCCACCUGGGCUGGGUAUAUCAUCUGGUAUCAGAACUAGGACCCAUUUUAAGAAGGUGGGAAUGAUGAGGCCAUCCUCCACUAUUACCCGUUGGCAAAGACGCAAUUGGCCCAAUUGGCCCAAUUGUAGUCGGACGACGACCGUGUGAGCCUCAGAAUUAUCCCACCUCGCUUAACUUGGGAGGAGGAAGCCACUUUAAAAGGGAGAGCCACCCUUCCCCAAUGGACUAGUCUUUUGGGGCGAUUGGGCCUUUCCCUGAGUUGGGUGUGCUUAAUGAACUGUUGGUCUCCGGGCAACCCUAAUUUGUUGGGCCUCGGCCAACCCCACCUGGGCUGGGUAUAUCACUGCGUAUCUAUGCUUGACGCCUAUGGGUGACAUGAUAAUUGCAGCCACGCCUGCCCCCGCAUGGCACCAUGCGCCGUCACAGUGGAUGGUCCACACCUUCUCUGAGG